UAAGAAGCAAUUAUAUUAAUGCAUUUAAUUUCGACCUAAAAGAAGAUAAUAUUUAUCCUUAUAUU
rnacentral:tRNA from 1 species